AACGCACAUUGCACCCUCUGGUAUUCCGGGGGGUAUGCCUGUUCGAGCGUCAUUGCAACCCUCAAGCACUGCUUGGUAUUGGAUGCUACCUCUUGGUACACCUCAAAAAUAUUGGCAGUGGCAUUCAGCUUCUAGUGUAGUAAUUUUUCUCGCUCAGGAGUCAUGAGUGUCUGACUGCCAGAAACCCUCUAAUUUAUCACAAGGUUGACCUCGGAUCAGGUAGGGAUACCCGCUGAACUUAA
rnacentral:misc_RNA from 1 species